rnacentral:rRNA from 1 species
AUUGAACGCUGGCGGCAUGCUUUACACAUGCAAGUCGAACGGUAACAGGUUAAGCUGACGAGUGGCGAACGGGUGAGUAAUGCAUCGGAACGUGCCCGAUCGUGGGGGAUAACGCAGCGAAAGCUGCGCUAAUACCGCAUACGAUCUGAGGAUGAAAGCGGGGGACCGUAAGGCCUCGCGCGAUCGGAGCGGCCGAUGUCAGAUUAGGUAGUUGGUGGGGUAAAGGCUCACCAAGCCGACGAUCUGUAGCUGGUCUGAGAGGACGACCAGCCACACUGGGACUGAGACACGGCCCAGACUCCUACGGGAGGCAGCAGUGGGGAAUUUUGGACAAUGGGCGCAAGCCUGAUCCAGCAAUGCCGCGUGCAGGAAGAAGGCCUUCGGGUUGUAAACUGCUUUUGUACGGAACGAAACGGUGAUCUCUAAUACAGAUUGCUAAUGACGGUAC